GAUUUAUUGGUAAGAGAUUAGCCUGUAUUGUAUCAGUUAGUUGGUGGGGUAAUGGCCUACCAAGACGAUGACGCAUAACUGGUUUGAGAGGAUGAUCAGUCACACUGGAACUGAGACACGGUCCAGACUCCUACGGGAGGCAGCAGUGGGGAAUAUUGCACAAUGGACGAAAGUCUGAUGCAGCAACGCCGCGUGGAGGAUGACACAUUUCGGUGCGUAAACUCCUUUUAUAUAAGAAGAUAAUGACGGUAUUAUAUGAAUAAGCACCGGCUAACUCCGUGCCAGCAGCCGCGGUAAUACGGAGGGUGCAAGCGUUACUCGGAAUCACUGGGCGUAAAGAGCGUGUAGGCGGAUUGAUAAGUUUGAAGUGAAAUCCUAUAGCUUAACUAUAGAACUGCUUUGAAAACUGUUAAUCUAGAAUGUGGGAGAGGUAGAUGGAAUUUCUGGUGUAGGGGUAAAAUCCGUAGAGAUCAGAAGGAAUACCGAUUGCGAAGGCGAUCUACUGGAACAAUAUUGACGCUGAGACGCGAAAGCGUGGGGAGCAAACAGGAUUAGAUACCCUGGUAGUCCACGCCCUAAACGAUGUACACUAGUUGUUGUGAGGCUCGACCUUGCAGUAAUGCAGUUAACACAUUAAGUGUACCGCCUGGGGAGUACGGUCGCAAGAUUAAAACUCAAAGGAAUAGACGGGGACCCGCACAAGCGGUGGAGCAUGUGGUUUAAUUCGACGAUACACGAAGAACCUUACCUGGACUUGACAUAGUAAGAAUGAUUUAGAGAUAGAUUAGUGUCUGCUUGCAGAAACUUGCAUACAGGUGCUGCACGGCUGUCGUCAGCUCGUGUCGUGAGAUGUUGGGUUAAGUCCCGCAACGAGCGCAACCCUCGUCCUUAGUUGCUAACAGUUCGGCUGAGAACUCUAAGGAGACUGCCUACGCAAGUAGGAGGAAGGUGAGGAUGACGUCAAGUCAUCAUGGCCCUUACGUCCAGGGCUACACACGUGCUACAAUGGGGUAUACAAAGAGCAGCAAUACGGUGACGUGGAGCAAAUCUCAAAAAUGCCUCCCAGUUCGGAUUGUAGUCUGCAACUCGACUACAUGAAGUUGGAAUCGCUAGU
rnacentral:rRNA from 1 species